rnacentral:rRNA from 1 species
UACGUAGGGUGCGAGCGUUGUCCGGAAUUAUUUGGCGUAAAGAGCUCGUAGGCGGCGUGUCACGUCGGAUGUGAAAGCCCGGGGCUUAACCCCGGGUCUGCAUUCGAUACGGGCAUGCUGGAGUUCGGCAGGGGAGAUCGGAAUUCCUGGUGUAGCGGUGAAAUGCGCAGAUAUCAGGAGGAACACCGGUGGCGAAGGCGGCUCUCUGGGCCUUACCUGACGCUGAGGAGCGAAAGCGUGGGUAGCGAACAGG